rnacentral:rRNA from 1 species
CCGGAAUGGACAAACCACUGGUGCACCAGUUGUUCCGCCAGGAGCAUAGCUGGGUAGCUAAGUUUGGAAAGGAUAAGUGCUGAAGGCAUCUAAGCACGAAGCCCCCUUCAAGAUAAGAUAUCUCACCAGAAAUGGUUAAGGUCCCUGGUAGACGACCAGGUAGAUAGGCUGGAUGUGGAAGUAUGGCAACAUAUGGAGCUGACCAGUACUAAUCGACCGAGGUCUUGAUCCAAU